rnacentral:tRNA from 1 species
GGUCCCAUAGCUCAGUUGGUUAGAGCGUCGUACUAAUAUCACCACCAUUGGUAAUAUCUAGUCAAUGCGAAGGCCGGCGGUUCGAGCCCGCCUGGGACCA